UGCGACCCCAGGAUGGGCGAGGCCACCCGCCGAGUUUAAGCAUAUCAAUAAGCGGAGGGGAAAA
rnacentral:rRNA from 1 species